CUCCCAAAGCCGUGCCUCAAGCGCUUCAUCUCUUUCUCCACCCACGCACACCUACAUGCACACAAACAAGAGGAAAAGGAAACCUCUUUCUCCACCCACGCACACCUACAUGCACACAAACAAGAGGAAAAGGAAACCUACAGGAGAAACAUUCCCUGGUCUAAAUUGUUUAGUUCUUCACCGUUUCCAAAUUUCAGCUCCAUGGACGCCGGUGCUCUAUCCCGAUGAUUUAGGCGAUCCAUGUUCGAGUCCUUGCGCCAAAAUAUUCUGCUCCAUGCCGCAGCUCCAUUCAGAGAAGAAACAACGUGUUCCGUCGAGCAUACGCGGAGAAUUUUGCAAGUACUUAUACACUGUUCGUCAAGUUCAUCGCACCGUUCCGUCGAACUCGGGAGUGACGAUAUCGAUGUUGGACAUGGAUAGAACAGGUUACUGAAGAAGGACUCAACAACGAAGGCAUGCCUCCUUCUUUGAUCAUACUUAUCCUAUGUUUACAAAAUUGCAUUGUGUUUUAUGGUUAUUAUAUGCAUGCUAUUUUAAUUCUCGUAGCUAGCGUGUCGAUUGACACAUUACCUUGAUCCACUUGUUGCCUAUUCAUUUGACACCUGAGUAGAAUUAUAGUAUUCUUGUAGAGUAGAAAUGCUUAGCCAUGCUUAUUACCCUAUAGGUGCUUUGUUGAAUGACAUCUGAGUCAUUGACAAUUGAAACUUACCGCUGAGCUAGGCCAGAUGGCCUUAUUGAUAUCCUCUACUCUCUUCUACUCUGGGUGAAACUUACCAUCUGUAUACUGGCGCGGGCGAUAGCUGAAUCAAGGAUUG